rnacentral:snoRNA from 1 species
GGUCUGCAGUCCUGGCGCGGCGCUGGGUGGCUGGUACCCGGGGGCACACCGGACUCGCAGAAAGAGCAUCCCCCGGAGGAAGCUGAGGCAUGGCUGCCCCGAGGCCAGCGGCUCUAUGUGCAAUUUUCCUCCGAUAGCUGUACCCGGUGCUGUUGCCACGGUGAUGAUGACUGUGCCCAGUGUCGUUAUCUAUCGACCAACAGUAGAGAAGCUCUGCAGUCAAGAUAUUGUUCAGCAGACGGAGUGCUUUCUGUUGGACACUAAGCGCUGCUACACGU